rnacentral:tRNA from 1 species
CCGCGGUCGGGGAUCGUCCCGCCGCUCGUGACGGCGAGGCGCUGCGAGCCGGGGCGCCCGGCGAUCGUGCCGGCGUCGCGGUCC